CCAGGUUAGUAGGGUUCCCCUGUGAUAGAGACCUGCAGAUGCAGCUGCUAACUCAAUCGAGCAGGAACCCUAGAUCUAACAGAUCUCAUGCUUGAUUCGACCACAAGAUACUCUUCGGCCCGACCCUGCAAUUUUGCCUUAUCCCGAGCAAAUUGUCUCUAAUUUCUUUUCCCCAGUUACAUACGCACCCAACACGAUGGCAGACCGAGCCGACGAAUUUCUUGCGCUGUUCGACAACUAUCCACACGGCGCUUUCAUUUUCUCUAUGUUCUUCGUAUAUCUUGAUAAUUUCGCGGGAGUUUAGUCAUUUCGACGAGCUGCUGCUCCAGAUUCGAUGGCCAUACCUUUCUUUUUCCAGUUACUCCCGUAUAAGCUGUGGCUCUAAUAGCCAUAGCCCCAAAAACAUUUUUGUGCUUGUCACGCACCCUUGCGCAUCGAUAAGUUAAUUGCUCUUGCGUUUUGCUCUCUUUUCUAAUCUCAGUAUUAACUUGGGUUCGCUAGUUGCUUCUACGAUUGCGUAUAGCCCUGCCCAUACGAUUGUUCUUCAUUUGAAGGAUUGCUUCCUUGAUACCUCCUUUUCAAGGGAUAUUCUAGUAUUUUUAUUUUCCUAGCAUCUCUGCAUUUUGCGUGGCUGUGAUGACAACAAAAUCACUUAUUCAUACCUUAAUUUCAAUUAAGGACAGAAACUGAUGACUUUAUUUGUGCGUGUCUGAGCCGACGCACUUGUUUGCGUAUGCGGUUGCUUAAGUUUGGUUUCUAACUUUCUCUUACUCUAUUAUGUUGAUUUUUGUCUCUUCUUCUUUUGAGGCAGAGGAUAUCUGUUGGGAUUUAUUGAAAAUCUCCAACGAUUGUUCACGGGAGUUCAACAAAUCUGAAAAGCCAUUGCAUCUUCAUUCGAUGGCUACUUCUUCAGUUACUCCCAUAUUGAUGCAAGGCAAAGAUAGCCCUUCUUCCACGGAAAUAGUUGGGCUUUGGGUUAGGCCUGCCUUCGACAUCUACAAAUUUGCUCCUUUUGUGCUCCUUUUGUGCUCCUAGUGUGUUAACUAGGUUUUGUUUUCAGCAUCUUCAGUUUAUGUGUGAUUGUGAUGACAAAAACUUUGUUUCCCGAUGCUGACACGUGAUUCAUUCAAGGACACAAUUUUGAUGAGAAUUACAUGCCUGAGACAAUGCAGCCUACUCUUUCUGUGCUUAUUUGUGCUAAAUGUCUUUUUGUGUGCUUGUAGUGUUCUUGCCUGGCUGUGAUGACAAAAUAACUUCCAUUUCUCGGUGCUGAUACUUGAUCUACUCAAGGACCCAAAAUUUGAUGAGCUUUGUGCGUGUCUGAGCCGAUGCACCUUAUUCUCUAGUGCUCUUUCGUGGCAAGUUUUGUGCUAUUUGAGUUUUCUUGGUUUUACUAUGGUUUUUAUUCCUGGACAGCAGAGGAUCUUGCAGCUAGAUUUUUUGGAGGAGCUUGCAAACUAGAUUAGGAACAUGCUUCAUGAUGGGGAACUGUUAAAAUACAAUAAGGGCCUCUUUGAUUUGUAGUGUUCUUGCCUGGCUGUGAUGACAAAAUAACUUCCGUUUCUCGGUGCUGAUACUUGAUCUACUCAAGGACCCAAAAUUUGAUGAGCUUUGUGCGUGUCUGAGCCGAUGCACCUUAUUCUCUUGUGCUCUUUUGUGGCAAGUUUUGUGCUAUUUUAGUUUUUUGUUUUACUCAGGUUUUUGUUCCUGGACAGCGGAGCAUCUUGCAAGCUUUUUUUUGGAGGAGCUUCUAAACUAGAUUUGGUGAUUUUAUGAAUCCGAUCAGUUGCCAUAUCCUCAUUGUAGUUUCAUUGUGGUUGAGAUCAUAAGUGCUGUUCUGAAUGAUGUUCUUUUCAGGAACAUGCUUCAUAACAGGAAACUGUUAAAAUACAAUAAGGGCCUCUUUGAUUUGUAGGAAGAGUAGAGGAGAAAUGUAGGAAUAGAAAAUUUUCCUUUGGUGACCCUAUUUAUCCAUUUGAUUCAAAAGAAUGAAGGAAGAAAAACCGUAGGAUUUUUACAAUCCACUUGGACCGCAUUUUCGUAUUCCCUUGCAUGAAAAACAAGAUCAGUAUUUUGUGAUGUAAUAACAUCAGAACUUUAUUUUGCAUGUGGUUUGACUUAAUUUGACCGUGUUUAUUAAGUUGCCUGUGUUUUUCCUGUUCUUAUGAAUCAAAUGACCAGAUUACAAAAUUCCCGUGUUUUUCAAUCCUCUGUCUUGCACAUGCAUUCCUAUCCUAUUACUAUGUUUUUCAUUCAUGCGUUUUAGGAUCCUGUGAAUCAAAGAGACCCUAACAGUAUAAUAAAUAGGCACUCACAUAUCCAUCGCAUAUAACAUCUGCCUGUGUAGGUAGUUAGCUACCGUCCUUUGUCCGCCUGGUGUCCUAUUCAUAAGUAUCUCUUCUAAAAUAUGAAAUUUAAUGAUCAUAACAAUGCCAGAGACGUAUCCCUUUUUUUGUAAAAGUUGUACUGAACAUAUUACAUUUAGAAUCCUGGAUAUGAUAGAAGUUUUCAGAAGUUGUCUGUAUGGUUGUGCUAAACAGUUGUGGGUUAUGAAACUUGUCAUUCACGUUAGUCGGACCAACUGUAAUUAACAUAUCAUGCUGAGAAUCCUGGAUAUAUGAUGGAAGUUCUCACAAAUUGACCGUAGCGUACAAUCGUGCUAAACAGUUAUGGGUUGUGAAACAUUUGCAUUAGUGGGUUCGUCCAACUCAUAGUAAGCUGUUUGUAGGUCAAAUAUUCAAAUCACUUUAAAUGCUUUUCAGUACUAUUUGGAUUGAUCUUCUACUUGUUCUAUUGCCUGGGCAUCAGUUUUUUUUUUAAAUUUGGUAUAUGCAGGACUGAAUCCUUAUAAUUCACCUGUUAAAGAUGUAGCUAACAAGAUCUAAUACAAGGCAAGCUACAAGUUUUUAGGAUACAGCCAAGUUCGUAAAAACUGAAAGUUCAACUAGCUGGAGAUUACAAAACAGAAUACUGAAAAUAGAAAGGAGAGAAAAACAAGCAUAGCUGGGGUACACAUCUAAACUACUUCAUCCUGCUUGUAUCACCAUUGUUCCGUUGCAUGGUGAGUUUUGCUAUGUUAGCUCCCUGUUUACUGUGAAUUCAUAAUUCAUGGUCGUCGAGAUUCAAUAACCAACCAUAUGAUCUUGAUUCACACUUAUUGGUCAAUUCCUCGGUAUUCUUGGAAUUUGUUAGGAUCUCCCCUAGAGGUCCACCUUGAGGCAUCUCCCAAGAGCUUGAGAUGCAAUCCUCCUGGACUCGUGUCAUGUCAGAUGUAAGGCGGCUGUUGCCUGAACCUUCUGGACAUGAAUAGAAAGCUGUGUGCAAGAAAUGUCCUUACUGCUCUGCUGGUUGCUUCGCUCCCAAGGCUUCAAUACUGUAUUUGAGGAGAUCGAUUCACUGUCUACUGUAGGACUGAACUUACCUUGUUUAUUCUGUUGCUUCAGUUGAGAUAGUAGGGACAAUGUGUGAUUUGUAGAAUUUAGCGGUGGGACAGUACUGCCUUCUUCAGGUUUGUUUGCUCGUGCUUUGCUCACCAUUGUCCUGCAAUAAGUAAACUUAUUAAAUAAGAAUUAUGAUUGCUUUCUACUAAAAUAUCAAUGAUCGUUCUUGUU